CCAUCUCAAAGAGCAAUGGAAAGACAGAUGGCUGGAAAAGCAGCAGUUACUUACGGGCCGGACCAUAUAUAGCCUUGAUCAUCACAGAAGCUUUUAAUUUGUUUGUUUUUCUGACCUGGCCCAGUUCACCCUGCCAUAGACAGGUCAACCCUCCUUAGGCAGCCUGGUGGACCUCCACUACUGGGAGCUCACAUUGACACUGGACUUGGAGAAGACAGUUGAUGAACUUCAGCCCCACUGCAUCUUAGAACUCCUGAGCUAGAGUUAUCCUUCACUCUCAGCCUACCCCAGUAGUAGAGAUCACAGGCAUGAAACAACAUGACCAGCUUAAGUUUAGAUUCUACCUCCAGCUUCUGCAACAGAAGGAUAUUU